rnacentral:rRNA from 1 species
CAUGUGUAGCGGUGAAAUGCGUAGAUAUAUGGAGGAACGCCGGUGGCGAAAGCGGCUCUCUGGUCUGUAACUGACGCUGAGGCUCGAAAGCGUGGGGAGCGAACAGGAUUAGAUACCCUGGUAGUNCACGCCGUAAACGAUGAGUGCUAGGUGUUAGGCCCUUUCCGGGGCUUAGUGCCGCAGCUAACGCAUUAAGCACUCCGCCUGGGGAGUACGACCGCAAGGUUGAAACUCAAAGGAAUUGACGGGGGCCCGCACAAGCGGUGGAGCAUGUGGUUUAAUUCGAAGCAACGCGAAGAACCUUACCAGGUCUUGACAUCCCGAUGCCCGCUCUAGAGAUAGAGUUUUACUUCGGUACAUCGGUGACAGGUGGUGCAUGGUUGUCGUCAGCUCGUGUCGUGAGAUGUUGGGUUAAGUCCCGCAACGAGCGCAACCCUUAUUGUUAGUUGCCAUCAUUCAGUUGGGCACUCUAGCGAGACUGCCGGUAAUAAACCGGAGGAAGGUGGGGAUGACGUCAAAUCAUCAUGCCCCUUAUGACCUGGGCUACACACGUGCUACAAUGGCUGGUACAACGAGUCGCAAGUCGGUGACGGCAAGCUAAUCUCUUAAAGCCAGUCUCAGUUCGGAUUGUAGGCUGCAACUCGCCUACAUGAAGUCGGAAUCGCUAGUAAUCGCGGAUCAGCACGCCGCGGUGAAUACGUUCCCGGGCCUUGUACACACCGCCCGUCACACCACGAGAGUUUGUAACACCCGAAGUCGGUGAGGUANCCUUUUAGGAGCCA